AUACUGGUGAUGAGGACAUUGAGUAGGCAACUACAUAAAUCAUUCCCAAGCUUCCUGAAUAGGCUCUCCCUCCAUUUGAGCAAAGGACCAAAUCUUAUUCCUUAGAUU